UUCUAAGGCCAGAUCUCCAUCCACUACACCAUGCCUUAAUGAGUCUAAUCUUGUCUCAUCAGAAGCUAAGUAGGUUUGGGCUUGGGUAAGUACAUAGAUGGGAGACUUUCUGGGAAAACCAGGUACUGUAAAAU
rnacentral:rRNA from 1 species